rnacentral:rRNA from 1 species
AUUGAACGCUAGCGGGAUGCUUUACACAUGCAAGUCGAACGGAGUGGCGGACGGGUGAGUAAUAUAUCGGAACGUGCCUAGCAGCGGGGGAUAACUACUCGAAAGAGUGGCUAAUACCGCAUAAUCUUGGAGCGGCCGAUAUCGGAUUAGCAAGUUGGUGGGGUACAGGCUCACGAAGGCAACGAUCCGUAGCUGGUUUGAGAGGACGACCGGCCAGACUGGGACUGAGUCACGGCCCAGACACCUUCGGGAGGCAGCAGUGGGGAAUUUUGGACAAUGGGAGAAUCCGUGAUCCAGCCAUCCCGCGUGUAUGAUGAAGGCCUUCCGGUUGUAAAGUACUUAUGGCAGAGAAACGGUAUCUGCAGAAUAAGCACCGGCUAACUACUGGCCAGCCGCCGCGGUAAAUC